rnacentral:rRNA from 8 species
AAAUUGAAGAGUUUGAUCAUGGCUCAGAUUGAACGCUGGCGGCAGGCCUAACACAUGCAAGUCGAACGGUAACAGGAAGCAGCUUGCUGCUUCGCUGACGAGUGGCGGACGGGUGAGUAAUGUCUGGGAAACUGCCUGAUGGAGGGGGAUAACUACUGGAAACGGUGGCUAAUACCGCAUAACGUCGCAAGA